ensembl:lncRNA
CCUGGGAGGAGGAGGCUGCAGUGAGCCAAGAUGCGCCACUGUCUUUAGCCUGGGCUACAGAGCAAGACUCCACCUUAAAAAAAAAAAAAAAUGCCUUGGGGCAUCUUUCACUCUGGUUCUUAGGAUGGAUGAAUACUCCCUACUGUUCUCUGUGCCUGAUCACAGACAGAACACUAUGAAAGCCACCUGGUGGAUGCUGGCAACACUCGCCAGUUUUAAGCCUUUUAAAAACUACCGAAAUGUGUAAAGAACAGGGCAGUGGCUACUCAUGCAUCUGCCACCGGGGCUCCCUGAUUCUUCACAUUUCACCACGUUUCCUUCAUCGCUGCAAUUUUUGCUCAACACAGACUCGCCCUGUGGAGAGGACAAAUUGGAUUCAUGACCAGACCUCCGAGAGGCUGCGUCUCCAGGCAGCUGGGGGGAAGCUGUCUGGAAACAAACACGUUUUCCAGCUCACUCGACCCUCGCAUUUCCAGAGCAGAAGGUCUGAGAAGCAUGCUGGGAUACUGAGUACAUUGGUUGUCCAACAUAGACAUCUCUCACCAACAGAGUAACAGGUAAGAAAAGGACCAUUUUAAUCUAUUGCAUCAGUUGCUACCAGGAGGAUUUCCUGGCACCUUUCUCAUUUUUAUUAUUUUCGUAUUUCUUUAAAUAAUGCAAUUAAUUAAGUACAUUAGUAUAAGUGACUAAGGGAAGCUUAUUUCCCUUCAGCAGUUUGUAUUUGGUUUUAUCUCUUUUUUUUUUUAGACAAGGUCUUACUCUGUCACCCAGGCUAGAAUGCAGUAGUGUGAUCUUGGCUCACUGCAACCUCUGCCUCCCGGGUUCAAGUGAUUCUCCUGCCUCAGCUUCUAAAGCAGCUGGGAUUACAGGAGCCCAUCAUCAUGCCUGGCUAAUUUCUGUAUUUUUAGUAGAGAUGGGGUUUCGCCAUGUUGGCCAGGCUGGUCUCAAACUCCUGACCUCAGGUGAUCUGCCAGCUUUGGCCUCCCGAAGUGCUAGGAUCACAGGGGUGAGCCACGGUGCCCGGCCUUUACCCCCUGUUUGACUGCACAGGUCCUUGUGUGAUUAAUGCUUUUACCUCGGUGUCUUUUAACCAUAGGAAGCAUAAUCUAAUCGUCUUUAGUGCUCUGACAUCCAUGCUCAUUUUCAAGUCAUAUGAGAGGCCUUGCUAACUGAUGGUCGAUGCUCACGGACAUGUGGGCUUUGACAGUCACUACCUCCUUUUCGGGCAUCAUGAGAGGAUUCCUGCAGCUUUCUACAAGAGGUAAUUAUGGCCUUCUCCCAGUCUCUGGUCACCUUCCUUUCCUGGCACGAAUUGGCCUCUUUGAAAGGUGUAUCCUUUUCAAGGAUAUGCAUGAUGUGAUUUUAUAAUUGGUAGGGGAAAUUGGGGUCAAGAGAGUCUGCUGAAGAUGAAAAGCUUAGACUGUAUCUGUGAAGCUGCCAUGGACUGGAGAACAAACAAUUGGAUUUCCCUUUGUUCGCCUGGAUGGCUGGUGAGGAUGCUUCUGGAUUCCCAAGUCAAGUUCAUGACUUAUUCAUAAACAUACGUUUAACUCAGGUAACAUUAGAGAGAGCUCUCGGAAGCCAAUCCAAGUGCAAAGACAUCCACCCAGUGGGGUGGAUUCUUCUUAAUUUUGCUGGUGCUGGGACUGUGUGCGUAUUAUUUUGACUGGGAACAUAUUACUGAGGAUGGCCCUAUAUCCUGGUAAUCAUACAUGUUAGCCCUUUAAAGGCAAUCAAGUAAAUGCGACAGUGGCCAACUGUGUUAGUGUCCUGGAAGAGUGGUUCUGAGAGAUGGGGAAAGCUAUCUCCCCAUUGCAAUCGAGGAAUAUUCCCUUCCCUGCCUUGCAUUCUCUCUGACUCAUUUUAUUUUUAUUAUUUUUAUUUUUUGAAGAAGGGUCUUACUCUGUCACUCAGGGUAGAGUGCAGUGGCAUGAUCACAGCUCACUGCAGGCUUGAUCUCCAGGACUCCAGUGAUCCUCCCACCUCAGCCUCCUGAGUAGCUGGGACCAUAGGCAUAAGCCACUAUGCCUGGCUAGUCUUUGUAUCUUUUUUUUUUGUUUUGGUAGAGAUGAAGUUUCAUCAUUUUGUCCAGGCUGAUCUUCAACUCCUGGGCUCAAGUGAUACUCCUGCCUUGGCCUCUCAAUGUGCUGGGAUUACAGCCAUGAGGCACUGCACCUGACCCUGACUCAUUUUAUGUCAUAAAACCUUGAAUAUGCAAUCGUGUGUAAUUAUCUUUCCUAUGUUUUCUGUGGCCGUUUUUCUGAACCUGACGAACAAAAGGGGUUAAUACGUUCACAUUCCCUUUAGUUACUUUUUGUUUUCUGGAAGAUCAGGAGGCAGAAGAAAAGUGGGAAAGAUAUUGAGUGACACUUUGCUUUGAGUGACAAAUGGUGGUGGCUUGUCACAGUGCUCUUAGUCUGAGGGGGCCAGGUAGGCUCGCCUUGCAAAGGGAGCACAGAGUGGGAGCAGCAGGGCUGGGGAGAGCCUCCCGCCCUCCUGGCACCAGCCUGAUGGAGAGGAGAUGAGACAGGCCAGGAGGAGGUCGGGUGGCGUCUGCAGAUUAGGAAGGACCUUGAACGUUUUUCUUUGGGCUUUGGCUUUAAUUCCAGGUGAGAGUGGAAGUCCUGGGAGUAUUCUGAGCAGAGGAUUGACAAGCUGAGAUCUGGAUGCCAUCAUGGUGUCUGCGGCAUCAGGGUCAGAGUGUUGGGGCCCAGGUAGAGUAGGGCGGGGCUGGUGCAGGUGUCUGUGUAUGUGGUAUGUAGUGGUGCAAGGGGAUGAUGACGUGGGGAUGGUGAUGGGGUGGGCUGCAGAUUCUGGAGAUGCUUUGAGGCUAGAGCCAACAGGGUUUCUUAAUGGAUGGGCAGUGGGUGGGAGAGAAUGAAGUUGAAGAUGGGUUUGGAUUUUAUUUUGUUUUUGUUUGAGCAACUCUAGUGAACGGAAUUGUCAUUAACAGCAUAGGAAAGACUGUGAGAGAAGCAUGCUUGGAAGGGACGAUAUAUGCCAGCUUUGGGCAGGUGAAGUGUAAGACGCCAGUCAGAUAUCCCAUGAGAGAAGCCAUGCAAUUGGUUGGAUGAAGGCGUCUGAGUUGGGCUGGGUGCGGUGGCUCAUGCCUGCAAUCCCAGCACUUUGGGAGGCUGAGGUGGGCAGAUCACCUGAGGUCAGGAGUUUGAGACCAGACUGGCUGACAUGGCAAAACCCCAUCUCUACUAAAAAUUCAAAAAUUAGCCAGGUGUGGUGGUGGGUACCUGUAAUCUCAGCUACUUCAGAGGCUGAGGCAGGAGAAUUGCUUGAGCCUGGGAGGUGCAGAGGUUGCAGUGAGCCGAGAUCUCACCACUGCACUCCAGCCUGGGUGACAGAGUGAGACUCUAUCUAAAAAAAAAAAAAAAAAAAACCCCACAAAAACCAGAAACAAACAAACAAACAAAAAAAUGGGUGUGAGUUCAGGGGACGCAUCUGGAAUCAUCCGUGAGAAGGGAUGGGGUCUGGGAAGAACAGAGCAGAGGUUAGUGGUCUAUGUCAGGAUGCGUGCCAGCAAAACAAGGUUGGGGUGGUGGAGAGAAUCCAGCCUGGACAUGGAGGCGGCUCUCUGAAGGAGACCAGGACAUGGUCGUGUGCAUGAGCUGAGGUUGCAAGGAGAGACAUGUUUCAAGGAGGAACAGCUGUGUCCAAGCUACCGAGGGACCACCAAGAAGAAAACAGGCAACGCACGGCUGAGAUUAGACAGCGGUGGGUCAUUCAGCACCACGGCCACUGAGAGACUCAGAGAGGCGAUGGGCGAGAAAUGCAGAUGGAAAGGGGUUUAAGAAUGACCAGGAAAGAUCUGAAACAGAGGGAACAGAUGAUUCUUCUCAGGAGUUCUGUUGUAAAGGAAGAAAAGAGGAAGGUGUCGUUGGAGGGCAUAAAGGUUAUGAGUUUUGUUUUGCCUGCUUUUCAAGAUGGGAGAAAACCCAACACUAUUGGACCGGUGGGAAUCAUCUGGGAGAGUGAAAAAAUUAUGUCAAGAUGAGAUGGGAGAGUUUCUAGGCAGUUUUCUUCAGGGAGAAGAAUGGGAUUCAGUGAGCGCAUAAGUGCAGAUCCCUGAGAAGGGAAGGGGAACCCGGCGGUGAGCGUCUGUGGCUCCCACGGGAGGGAGGAGACAUCAGACCUUUUUGAACUGGUUCCUCAGCUUUUUCCUCCUCCAUCAGGAGACACGUCUCUGCCUGAAAUUUGGGAAUUGCGUUAGGAUAGGGAGAAGAAAACUUGUCAGUGAAAGAACACAAGGAAACAAGAAAUGUGAGUGAGUGUGGAUGUGUGGUGUGUGCAUGAGUGUGGGAUGCAGGGACAGGCCCCGUAGUCUAGACAAUGUAAGAAGCUAAAAAACCCCGUGUGAGAGUUCACGCAAGGGGUUAUCUAUAGACUAAACCUAAAACAGCCCUCAAUUUCUGUGGUGGAAAUAUCUGGCCAGCUUAGAAAAUGGUGGAAGGAUACUGGGCUAUGGGAAUUCUGUGUCAGAUUAAUAAGAAUAAGGGGAAAUGAGACAGGUUUUUAAUCUAUUCACCCACCUCACAAUGCUCCUCUGGUUCCCAGUGGUCCAGGUGUGUGGAGCACAGCCUCAGAGGCAGACAUGCCCAGACAAUGUAUGUAGAACAUGGUCCCUGAACAGACUUGAGCUCUGCUAGGAACCUGUGGGGAUCCCCGUCAGAGUUUUAUGUUAAGAUGCACUUCCCUGACUUUGAUGGCUGUGUCAUGGUUACAUAGGACAGUGUCCCUGUUCUGAGAAGACAUAUGGAAAUCUUCAGGGGUAGAGUGUCUUGAAGUCUUCCACUUACUCAUAGAUGGUGUGGGAAAAAUAGAGAGAACACUUAAAGCGAAUGGGAUACAAUGCAAUAUUAUGGUUACAGUUUUGCGAAUUUUCUCUAAGUUUGAAACAUGUUCAAAGUUGCUGAGUGGGGUAAGCCUGGUGGUCUGUUUCCCGGGCUCUACCUGGGCCUCUUGAGCUUUAUGAAGCUCCCACCUGUCCAGCGGCAGGUGGAGCAUGAGUGUGGUGGGAGGUGCUGUCUCUAUCAACCCGCUUCCU